rnacentral:rRNA from 1 species
AGCAGCCGCGGUAAUUCCAGCUCCAAUAGCGUAUAUUAAAGUUGUUGCAGUUAAAAAGCUCGUAGUUGAAUUCCGGGAUUCAUUCGUUGGUCGGGCUUUUUGGUCUGUACUGGCGUGAUGGAUUCCUACCUUCUGAAUAACCGGCAUGUCAUUAAUUUGGUGCGCCGGGGAAGCAGGACUGUUACCUUGAAAAAAUUAGAGUGCUUAAAGCAGGCUAUCGCCUGAAUACAUUAGCAUGGAAUAAUGAAAUAGGACGGCAUGGUUCUAUUUUGUUGGUUUCUAGGAUCACCGUAAUGAUUAAUAGGGAUAGUUGGGGGCAUUAGUAUUCAAUUGUCAGAGGUGAAAUUCUUGGAUUUAUUGAAGACUAACUUCUGCGAAAGCAUUUGCCAAGGAUGUUUUCAUUAAUCAAGAACGAAAGUUAGGGGAUCGAAGACGAUCAGAUACCGUCGUAGUCUUAACCAU